UACGUAGGGGGCAAGCGUUGUCCGGAAUCAUUGGGCGUAAAGCGCGUGUAGGCGGCUUGGUAAGUCUGCUCUGAAAGCCCGGGGCUCAACUCCGGGCCUGCAGUCGAUACGGGCGGACUUGAGUGUUGCAGGGAGACUGGAAUUCCUGGUGUAGCGGUGAAAUGCGCAGAUAUCAGGAGGAACACCGGUGGCGAAGGCGGCUCACUGGCCCGGUACUGACGCCUGAGGCGCGAAAGCGUGGGGAGCAAACAGG
rnacentral:rRNA from 1 species